rnacentral:rRNA from 1 species
UCAAUUGCUUUUAACCUUUUGGUUAUAAAUAAUUGUUAGUGGCAGACGGGUGAGUAAUGCGUAGGAUUCUACCUAGUAGUAUGGAAUAGCCAUUAGAAAUGAUGGGUAAUACUGUAUAAUCCCUGCGGGGGAAAGAUUUAUCGCUAUUAGAUGAGCCUACGUUAGAUUAGCUAGUUGGUAAGGUAAUGGCUUACCAAGGCUAUGAUCUAUAGCUGGUCUGAGAGGACGAUCAGCCACACUGGAACUGAGAUACGGUCCAGACUCCUACGGGAGGCAGCAGUGGGGAAUAUUGGACAAAUGGGCGAAAGCCCUGAUCCAGCUAUGCCGCGUGAGUGAAGAAGGCCUUCGGGUUGUAAAACUCUUUCAAUAGGGAAGAUAAUGACGGUACCUAUAGAAGAAGUCCGGGCAAAGUCA